rnacentral:rRNA from 1 species
GACGAACGCUGGCGGCGUGCUUAACUCAUGCAAGUUGAACGGAAAGGCCCUGCUUGCUGGGUACUCGAGUGGCGAACGGGUGAGUACCACGUGGUUGAUCUGCCCUGCACUUCGGGAUAAGCCUGGGAAACUGGGUCUAAUACCGGACAGGAGCCAUUUUUAGUGUGUUGGUUGGAAAGUUUUUUCGGUGUAGGAUGAGAUCGCGGCCUAUCAGCUUGUUGGUGGGGUAAUGGCCUACCACGGCGGCGACGGGUAGCCGGCCUGAGAGGGUGGACGGGCACAUUCGGACUGAGAUACGGCCCAGACUCCUGCGGGAGGCAGUAGUGGGUACUAUUGCAAUAUGGGUGCAAGCCCGAUGCAGCGACGCCGCGUGGGGGAUGACGGCCUUCGGUUUGUAAGCUCCGUACGCUAGGGACGAAGCUGUUUAUGACGGGACCUAGAUAAGAAGCAAGGGCUAACUACGUG